AUGUCAGCUGUGCAGUUCGGCGUGCUGUUCUCAAGGCUGCCAGAAAAUGAAGUUAAAGUUUAUAGAGACAUGCAGAGAAUGAGCUGGGUCCCAGUAGAUCUGCUUCUUACAACAGGGGGGACUCCCAAACCUAAUAUCCACAACACAGAACCUCCUGCUGUAAAGGUGAGCCUCCGUAUGAAAAUAUGCACUCUUCAAUCAUUGCUUUUAUGAAUAUGAUACAGACAGGCCAUAAGAUAAACCAGCUGUAUAUCAUAUGGAGAGGUCACAAAGCUUUAUUGUUGCAGUGUAAAUCUACUGCAGGUUUCUAUAUCUGGACAUUAAACUGAGGUCUGGUAGGAUGAUACAGAUGAGAAUGGUGUCUGGAAUGUCACUUAGUUUGGGAAGUACAUUUAAACUUACUGUAUAUGCAGCCUUUACUGUACUGAAUCUGAUCAUCCUACACUAAGUCAUUACCCUUCUGCCUCCGGGCACAGUUGGUGACCACGCCGUGUGUGUGCAUUUGUACGCGU
rnacentral:lncRNA from 1 species